rnacentral:rRNA from 1 species
UACGUAGGGCGCAAGCGUUGUCCGGAAUUAUUGGGCGUAAAGAGCUCGUAGGCGGCUUGUCACGUCGGGUGUGAAAGCCCGGGGCUUAACCCCGGGUCUGCAUUCGAUACGGGCAGGCUAGAGUGUGGUAGGGGAGAUCGGAAUUCCUGGUGUAGCGGUGAAAUGCGCAGAUAUCAGGAGGAACACCGGUGGCGAAGGCGGCUCCUGGACCCAAUACUGACACUGAGGAGCGAAAGCCAGGGAGGGCAAACGGG